AACAGGACGGCAACCCUUUUCUCUGUAUAUCAACCUGUGCUCUUUGGAAAUGAAUCUAGAUGUUAAAGCUAGACUUGUAUCUAGCGAUUCCUGCUUUGUGUUUUCAUUGCCCUUCAGGGAAAAGAAAUCAGACCCUCAUUUGCCGGUAUCGGGAAGAAGAAGAACCUCGAUGCUCUGAGGGUUUUGCUUCCUGACCUUAUGCAGGACAGAGGAGCUCUCAAGAUGAUGUAUGAUACAGACAGGAGUAGACAACGAGACGAGACCCCUUUGUAUCAAUGCUUGAUGUCCACUGCUACUCGGGUGUACGGAAAUCACUUGUCGCUCUCAUUUGUCGGAAUCUCUCUGUGUGUGUUGUUCUCCCUGUCAGGUGCCCUCUUCCAUGUGAAGGGUCCCGAGAUUUCUUGCAGGAAGGACAAUUAGUGUGUGAACCACCAAGUGAUUCUUCUUCAUUUGCAUUGUCACAUUGUAACAGAUCACUCCAAAGAUUCUUCUUCACGAAAGCUUUCGCCUGAAUUCUUGUGGGGUUUUUGCAAGUAACUCAUCGAAUGAUUUUGACAGUGGGAUUCAUCUGUCUUCUCA